rnacentral:rRNA from 1 species
AGGAUGAACGCUGGCGGUCUGCUUAACACAUGCAAGUCGAACGGGCGUAGCAAUACGUUAGUGGCGGACGGGUGAGUAACGCGUGAGAAUCUACCUUCAGGACGGAGACAACAGUUGGAAACGACUGCUAACCCCCGAUGUACUGAAAAGGCAAAUAUUUAUAGCCUGAAGAAGAGCUCGCGUCCGAUUAGCUAGUUGGAGAGGUAAAAGCUCACCAAGGCGACGAUCGGUAGCUGGUCUGAGAGGACGAUCAGCCACACUGGGACUGAGACACGGCCCAGACUCCUACGGGAGGCAGCAGUGGGAAUUUUCCGCAAUGGGCGAAAGCCUGACGGAGCAAGACCGCGUGGGGAAGAAGGCUCUGGGUUGUAAACCCUUUCUCUGGAAGAAAGUUGUGAAAGCAGCCUGACGGUACCAGAGGAAUCAGCAUCGGCUAACUCCGUGCCAGCAGCCGC